GGACGAGAACGUAAUGUGGAGUUUUAAAAUACCUGCAUCUAAUUAUUAUGAAUUGCUACUAUCGCAAACCCUCUUGUUAUAUCACUAUUUCAAAUCGACUAAAUUGUAUAUUUCGGGUUAGUUUAUACAUGUAACAAUAUCGGUAAAUUGUUUUUUUAGUUGUGUUAACUUUGUCAUAAGAAGACUAUGUUAUAAAUAAUGAUGUUCAGUCAUUGUUCCGUGUCAUACGAAAAUGUUGUGACUGCUGACAAUGUUUAAAACUAUACUGUGUCAUUCAAAUACGUUCUGAAUAGUGAAAACGUUCAAACGCUGUACUGUGUUAUUAGAAGAUGUUGUGACCUAUGAAGAUGUUCAAACCCCUAACUGUAUUAUUAGAUGAUAUUGAGUCUAGUGAAAACGUUAAAUUUAUGUGCUGUAUUAUUAGAAGACGUUGUGUCUAGUGACGACAAUAAACGAUAUACUGUGUCAAUAGAAUACGUUGCGACGGGUGCUUAAGUUCUUACGAUAAACUGUAUAGUUAGAAAAUGUUGUGAGUGGUUUCAAUGUUUAACAACUAUACUGUGUCGUUUAAAUACGUUGUGACGUGUGCAUGACGACGUGCAAACGCUGUCCUGUAUUAUCAGAGGACGUUGGGUCUAGUGACGACGUUCAAACGCUGUACUGUGUAAUCAGAAGACGUUGUUACUAGUGAAGAGUUGUAAUUGAUGUUCUGUCUCAUAAGAAUAAGUUGUGACUAGUGAGGACUAGUGAGGACGUGACGACGAUAUACUGUAUCAUUAGGAACCGUUGUUACUGUUGACAAGGUUUAAAAACCAUACUGUGUCAUUAGAAGACUCUGUGACUUGUGAUGACAUUCAAACGCAGUAAUCUGCCAUUAAAAGACGAUGUAACUAGUGAUAACGUUUUAAGGAUACACUCUGCAAUAAAACGAUUUUUUGGGAUUGCCAACUAUGUUCAAACGAUAAACUUUGUCAUUUGAAGACGUAGUGACAGGUGAAAACGUUCACACGCUGUAAUGUGUCAUCAGAAGACGUUGUGUCAUGUGACAACGCUAUACUGUGUCACUAGAAGAAGUGAUUAGUGACAACGUUUAAACGCUGCACUUUGUAUUAAGAAGACAUUGUGGCAGGUGACAAAGUUCAAAUGCUAAACUGUAGUGCUAGCACAAACUGUGACAAGUGACGACGUUCAAUCGCUACACUAAUAUAAGAAGCAGUUCUGAUUAAUGACGGCAUAACAACACUUUGCAGUGUCUUUAGAAACGUUGUGACAUGUGACAACAUUCAAAUUUUGAACUUUGUCAUAAGAAGAUAUUGUAACUAGUGAAAAACUGUAAUGCGCCAUAAAAUCAUGUUGUGAAUUAAGUCUAAAUGAUUGAAAGCUGAACUAUGACGCUUUUACGCUUUACUUAGAAGGCGUUUUGACAAGUGACAACUUUCAAACGCUAUAAUGUGUAAUUAUAAAACAAUGGCGUGCAAUCGCUUUACUGUGUCAUUUGAAGACGUUAUGACAUGCCACAAUGUCCAAACGCUAUACUGUGCCAUAAUAAUCCUGUGUGACAGUUGACAACGUUCAAGCGCUGUAGUGUGUCAUUAGAAGACGUUGUGACAGUGUGACAAGUGACAAAGUUCAAAUCUGAACGUUCAAACACUAUGUCACCAGAAGACGGUGUUACUAGUUAGACUUUCAAACGUUUAAAUGUAUCAUUGCUCUAGCAGAAGACGUUGCGACAAGUGACCACCUUUAAACGCUUGCUGUGUCAUUAGAAGACUUUACCUGUGACGACGUUCAAAUGCUGUUCUCUGCUAUUCAAGGUUGAAAUUAAUCACAUUCUUCAAAAACUGUAGUGUGUCGUCAGAAAACGAUGUGACGUGGGACGACGUUAAAACGCUGUACUGUAUCAUUCGAAGACGCUGUGAUCAAGGCACAAGUAAAUUGAAGAGACACAGCCUGAGAACAAUACCAAACAUAUGAAUGUUGAAACCGUAACUUGGUUCCCUCAACAAGCCUUCCGUCAUUUACAUCGACAAGCGUGACUCCAUGUACCUUAUCGUCAUUCACACCGACAGCUAUUUCACUUGUUGUGAUUUGACACAUGGCAAAUGAUACACAUCCGUGUUUACAUCGUCUGUGUUAACUUGAGGAGGCACAGAAGUGUUUACAUCGUCUGGGUUAACUUGCAGAGGCCCAGCAGUGUUAACAUGUACAUCGUUGGAAACAUAGAGGCACAGCAGUGUUAACAUCGUCGGGGUUAACUUGAAGAGGCACAGCAGUGCUUACAUCGUCGGGGUUAUCUUACAAAGGAACAUCAGUGUUUACAUCGUCGGGGUUAACUUGCAGAGGCACAGCAGUGUUUACAUCGUCGGGGUUAACUUGCAGAGAAAAAGCAGUGUUUACAUCGUCUGGUUUAACUUGCAGAGGCAAGGUUUAACUUGCAGAGGCAUAGCCGUGUUUACAUCGUCUGGGUUAACUUGCAGAGGUACAGCAGUUUGUAAAUAGUUGGUGUUAACUUGCAGAGGCACGGCAGUGUUUGCAUCGUCGGGGUUAUUUUGCAGAGGCACAGCAGUGUUUACAUCGUCGGGGUAAACUUGCAGAGGCACAGCAGUGUUUACAUCGUAUGUGAUAAGUUGCAGAGGCACAGCACUGUUUACAUCGUUUGUGUUAAGUUGCAGAGGCACAGCAGUGUUUACAUCGUCUGUUGUAACCUGCAGAGGCAAAGCAAUGUUUACAUCGUCUUGGUGAAGUUGCAGAGGCAAAGCAGUGUUUACAUCGUCGGGGCUAACUUGCAGAGGCACAGUAGUGUUUACAUCGUCUGGGUGAAGUUGCAGAGGCACAGUAGUGUUUACAUCGUCUGUUGUAACUUGCAGAUGCCAGCCUUAGUAAAUACCAUAAUCCUCCCCAAACAUGACAAUUUAGACAAGCACUGUUAAACAUUUCGAUUGGGCUGGAAUGUCAGUAAUUGUUCUACCUGAACAUAGUUCUCCUUCAGAUAACAUUAAGACUGCUCAACUUUUUCCAGACAUUUCUUACUUGCAAUAAAUGUGAGGUCUUCUUUGCGCUUAUCAACAAUAUCAUGUAUUGCGCUACUCGGUCGUUUUAAUUAUAUUUUAGGCUUGCUGCAUUUUUUUACAUCAGUCGUGAGAGAUGCUUUCAGAUUGGCCAACUUAUCACCUUGCUCUUUCAUAGUGUUUAAUUAAAUUUUCUAGAAUUAUAUUUAUUUUCUGGCGUUUGUCACGUAGUUUCUGUAAUUGUUGUAUGAAGCCUACAAAGUCAACAUAUCAGUGUUCCAAUUAUUCUCAAGUUUCUGUAGUGUUUCCAGAAUAUUUGUCAUCUUUUUUAUAGUGUUUGCAGGUUUGGUGGUGAUUCUUUGACUUACUCGGAUAUCAGUGUUAAG